rnacentral:rRNA from 1 species
UACGUAGGGUGCAAGCGUUGUCCGGAAUUAUUGGGCGUAAAGAGCUCGUAGGCGGUCUGUCGCGUCGGCUGUGAAAACUCGGGGCUCAACUCCGAGCUUGCAGUCGAUACGGGCAGGCUAGAGUUCGGCAGGGGGAGACUGGAAUUCCUGGUGUAGCGGUGAAAUGCGCAGAUAUCAGGAGGAACACCGGUGGCGAAGGCGGGGUCUCUGGGCCGAUACUGACGCUGAGGAGCGAAAGCGUGGGGAGCGAACAGG